rfam:Sus scrofa chromosome 11.
AUACAGGCAGUUUUUACUGCCACCCACAGAAACAAAAGUGAGUCA